GGAGGGGAGACCUCGACGGGAGGUCCAGGCUUGCCUACCGGGUGCUUCUGCGCGGCUUCUCUCCCUGACCCGCUUUCUCUACAGCUCAGCGCACACACGCACCCGCAUAACGGGUUUGUGGGUUUGUGGGGUUGGGAGCCCGGGUGCAUCUCUAGCUAGGCCGCUAAUCGGGAGCCCCCCAGUCGCGUAUGCACGCGCUGAUUCCCCUUGGUCUCCCCCUCCAUUGCACGCUUGUCUGCCUCGACUGGCGGCGGCGGUGGGGGGGGGGGGGGGGGGNNNNNNNNNNNUCGGGCCUCAGGGCGCAGAGGAGGCCGACUUUAAAAGUGUGCUUGACCCGGGUGAGGGGUGGAUUGCAGAAAUUGGAAUCAGGCCCAGGUUAAGAGUUGCGCACCAGAGGCACGAGUCCAAGUGGAAGAGACUCAGAGGGCUCCCGGCCCGGGGGCGGAGGCCCCUGGAAAGAGUGCAGGAGCCCUCGGCGAACCUGUUGCAAAAAGAACACAACUCGGCCAGAGGUUUGGCUCCAGGGAGAUCUUUAUGGUAGAGGUCGGAGUUCUACACCACCUACCUUCACUGAACAGCAAAAACAAACGUAGUACCCCGCGGGACAAGCCAGAGCGCCCACAGCCGCGUCCUCGCCCUCGCGGGGGCAUGGACUCCUAGGUUGCUUAUUAGGUAUCAGGCAUAUGAAAUGCCCCAAGACAAGGAUGUAAAAUUGUAAUUCCCAUACAUCCACUCAAAGUAAGGUUAGCGGUGGAAGUGCGAAUUUUUACACACACAUAACCACCCAGUCUCCAGGCACCUUUCCAGCUCCCUCUGAUGGACCAGACAAACACUAGGACGCACACCAGGACUGCUGGAGUAAAUCCGACCUUGGGCGGGUCACUUGGCGCUGAGGCGGCCACUGUCGGCCUCAGCUGGCAGCUUUGUUCGAUGGCCCUAUUGGGCCUCCUCCUUUUGUGGUGCUCGAUUAAUUAUUAAGAGAAAUAUUCCCGAGCUGAAUUAUAGAUAUGCUCUGCUCUCACCUAACUGCUGUUGGCUCAGCGAAGGACACCUGGAGGACUUCUUUUCGUUGUCUGAUUUUUUUUUAAUCUUUUAAAAUAAUAAAAUAAUAAAAAUAAAAUAGCUAAAAAAUUCACAUUAUAAUCAGUGAAAAGAAAGAAAGAAAGAAAAGGAAAGGACAGAAGAAAGAGGAAGGAUGGAAGGAAGGAAGGAAGGAAGGAAGGAAGGAAGGAAGGAAGGAAGGGGGGACAGAGAGAAAGAACUGAUGUGCAUGGUGGUUUUCCUAACAUCUUCUAGCUAGUACACCUUGAAUUUUUGUCCUGAAUAAAUUUACCUGUGAUCUUCUGGCCUCAACCAGGGGAGGAGGAACUGAGAGAAAGGUACCUCCACACUGGCUCAAGUGAGGUUUCAUUAAGGCAAGUAGGGAGGGUGGAUUGCCUCAAAAGUAAAAGUGAUCACGUGCUCUGGCCUGAACCCUCCCUCUGUACCUCUAUAAUGUGAUGUAGACGCUGUACAGUUUCACACAUACCAAGAGCAGAUAUUUGAGCUUAUUGCUGUCUCAUGAGAAACAUGUUUCUUGGGAUGGUAGAAAGCAGGACUGAGAACACAAGAUCUUGGGACUGGUUUCCCAAAAGCGAUUUGUGAGAUCUAUCCAGAGCAACUGUGGAAUGCUUUCAGAGAGAUGAAAACAGAGAGCGAUAUGAAGUACAAAAGAUGACAGCUAUAUUGAAGUUUGGGUAUUUUAAUUGGAUCAUGUUAAAACUUUAUGAAUUAUGUCUCCGUGUGCCCUUUUUUGUUUGUUCCUUUCAUGGCCCAGAGAAUUUUAAGAUUUAAAAAUGUCUGAGGACUUUAUGAAUACUUUGUACUUCUUAGGUAUCGGGAAUCUGAAUUACUAAAGCACCACAGUGAGAACACAGCUGACGGAAAACCACUCUCACCAAGACAGUCAUUCAGGUCAUACAAGGAGGACUUAUUGAGGACUCGAUCGAGGCAACUAACACUCAUCGAGUACCCACCUAAUACCUGGCUCUGUGUAAGUUCUUUGCAUGCAUAUUGUCUAAUUUUAUCUGCAUAAGGAAACACGUUAUAUGGUAGGUACUAUUUUAUUUACAUUUUACGGAGAAGGAAUUGAGGUUUACAAUGGUUAACAAACUUGCCUAAAAGUUAUAUAGCUAACUAUGUAACAGAACUGUGCCUUUAACAUCAGACUCAGCAAGCAGGAUGGACCCCGUGCUAGUGAUGUAACACCAUGUGUUCUGUGCCCAUUUGUCCUCACAAAGGAAUGGCUGUUUCAGAUACAUAGAUUAUGAAACAAGGGGGUAUGUGCUAUGAUGAAGGUUUGAGAGUGGUGUUCCGGGGAUACAAAGAAUAGAGUAGCAUCUAAUUGGGGGAAGCAAGGAAAGAUUGACCAGGAAAGGGGAAAUGUGUCUGAACAAUGGCGAGAAUAAAGUUUAUGCAGGCAUGUGUCAUCAGGGUGAACCAAGAGUAACUAGGAUAUGGGGCGCCUGGGUGUCUCAGCUAGUUAAGCUUCGGACUUUGGCCCAGGUCAUGAUCUUGCAGUUUGUAAGUUCAAGCCCCGUGUUGGGCUCUGUGCUGACAGCAGAGCCUGGAGCCUGCUUCAGAUUCUGUAUCUCCCUCUCUCUCUCUGUUCCUCCUCUGUUCAUGCUCAGUCUCUCUCUCUCUCUCUCUCUCUCUCUCUCAAGAAUAAAUAAACAUUAAAAAAUUAAAAAAAAAAAAAAGAGUAACUAGAAUCUGAUUGAUAGGUGGGGUCCAACUGGGAAGAACAUUCUGCUCCCCAGCCUUCACCCAUCUCUCUCUCUCUCUCUCUCUCUCUCUCACACACACACACACACACACACCUCUUUGCCCUUUCUUUAUAAAGCAAAUGAGAAACCUUCCAUUUCUCUCCCUGAAAUUCUCUUAAAGAGUCCCAGAAAUUCACAUACACAGUAGCAGAAAGAUUUUUUGCUUGUGACCAACAAAAUCUACCUUGUCUCAGUCCCCGAAAUCUAUUUUCCUUGGAGAGGAAAAACUCAUUUUCUAACCUUUCUUAGUCAUUGACUAGUCAACAUUCUUUAAGCUCCCCAUCUCCAAAUACACCUUUUACCACAAAUAAUUUCUCCCUGGCUUUGAAUUCUCUCAGUGGUGGUACAUAUGUUCCAGACCACACUAUGAAGUCUUUGUUUAUAUAGAAAGGGGCAAAGGGCAUUAGAUCUUCCUUUGUACAAAGCAGAUAGGAGGCCCUGAGGGAUACAAACUAAGUCCAUUAUAAAUGUUUUUGUUCUCUUUGGGGACUGUGAUCCCAGUGAAUUGCAAUGUUCUAUUUACUUCUCUCUCUCCCUAAGAAGCCUUCAACCCUUCCCUGAAAAUAGGCACUGUAUCCCAAGCAACCAGUGCAAAAUACCUGACCCAGAGUAGGCACUGGAUAAGAAUGUAACAAAAUGAAUGAAUAAUGGAAGAGGCUGGCUUUCGUUUGCCAAAAACGUUCAGCGCAUGUGUUGGGAGAAAAAAAAAGAAGAUGGGUUUUUGCCUGCUUACUCCCAGCCUCUCAACUAUCUGACUUUUAAAAUUCUGAAGGAUGUGAAAAUAAAGUCCUAGGAAAGUUGAUCUCAUGCUUCCCAUUCCCAAAUUUAUGGAUGUGGAUGUUCUGUUCUGCCCAUAUAAUUCCUUAUAAAAUGUAGAUCACUCAGCCAGUUUUUCCUUAUAUAUGGAUUUUCAAUGACUGUCCAUUACCAUUCCCCAUUCCUGAUUCCAUCUUAUCCAUAUCAGUACUGGUGAGGUCUUAAGAUGUAAGAAAAGCAUAUUUACUUUUUUUGACAGUGAGGAAACAUCAUCCCUGCAGAGGAAGACUGACUACUUUCUUCCUGACUUUAUGAUCACAACAUUGCCCCAGGCACAAUGGGCAGCAGGAUAUCCUGCACCUGCCUGGGGAGGACGCCUGUGGUCUAGAAGGUGCAAGAUGAGUCAACAUACUUAGGUGGUAGGGGUCUGUCUGGUAGAAGUCACACAAGGGGCAGAGAGAAGCAGUAACGUAAAUGAAGCUAGAAAGAAAAGUCCUAAGGCAGAAGGAGCCCCAAGGCAAAGGCUAACUGGACAAGAAUGGCACUUGUGAGGAUAAGCAAAGAUAAGCAGACCACACUAUGGUUUAGGAAAGGAAAGUGAGGGUGGACGUGGAUAUGCCAUGCUCAAGAGUUGGAACUAGGGGCUAUGACAAAACACUGCAUAAAAGGAUUCACAACCCUUCUUUUAUCUCUACAUGCAGGACAGAUGGGGUUUAUAUGCAUAGUGCAUUGCCCUAGGCAAACUUAGAUCAGCAGUCGCAGCAUCUACUAAAUAGACUGAGUUACAAGCAUUUCUGGUCUUCCUGGCUGCAAUGGUAUCCCUUUCUCUCCAUCUAUGAAUGCAUCUCGGAGGCCAAGUGAGUGAAAUUGAGUUGGCAUAGUCUAAAUUAUCUCUGAAUAGUUUUCUAAAUGCAAAUCCAUCAAAAAUGUCCUUUAAUUGAAGCAAAGCACCCCACCUUGAACAGUGAUACACUGAUGUGGGGUGACAUCCCCUCUGUCAGAUCUACUCUUCCACAGUGAAGUACAGUCUUCCUUUUAGCUCUUUGUUCUGCUUUCCUUAUACCUAAGUGGAAAAUAGGGCAAUUGUGGAGACUCACAAUUAAACUUAGGUGCAAAAUAAAAAUCACCCACAACCUUGUCUUGGCACCAAUCAGGAGCAAACCUGGGGCAGAGGUGAAUCAAGUGAGGUUUAGUUAUAGAAUGGUGUUAUUUCCUAUAGAUACUACCACCACCAUGCCUUUUGUAGUAACUUCUAUUAGUUUACAUCAAGGAACUUUUCCAUAUACCUACAUAUAGGCCUUUUCAUAAAAAUAAGAGGUCAUGGCAUACUUCCUGCCAAAACUAUGUUCCACACCCCCCAGAAUCCCUUUUAAAUUCAGUCAAUAACCAUGGAUGGCUUUUUAUUCCUUGCUACCAGAGAAUCUAUAAUGAAACAGAAGUUCUAACUGAGGACAGCACAUCCUGCCUUUUAGAGAAUAAGCAGCAGAGUGUCAGACCCUGGGGAGGAAUCUGGGAACUACAUUUACAAAUCAGGACACCUGGGGAUAGCAAUCAUCAUCGCCUUUUAUGUAAAUGUGAGUGGAAUUCAGAUUGUAGAACUGUGAACAUUUCUCUCUGCCCAGGGCUAUCUUCUUAACCCCUAGAAGAGUCCCCUACUAUCCAUUCCCUAGCCCUUUGGGGGAGCAUGUGCUAGACAAGAGCUUUCUGACAAUUAACCAAAUCAGAAGGAGAGGUAUUCAGGGUGAUGGCAUCUUGGAAGAGGUGUGUAAACAUUCUUAUGAUGCAGAACAGAGGCCUAUUAUGAGCUUUGGUGAUGGCUGUUCUAGGGAGUGAAUGGUGUUGAUCAAAAUCAAACUGGGGGAGUAGGGGAAGGAGUCAACUCUUACAGCAGAAUCUAGCCUUUCCUAUUUUAAGAGGCAGAGAGAGAGAAAGUGCACAAGAGGUGGGAGGGAAGGGGGGGGAGAGAGAGAGAGAGAGAGAGAGAGAGAGAGAUCCUAAGCAGGCUCCGUACUGUCAGUGCAGAGCCCAACGCAGGGCUCAAUCUCAUGACUAUGAGAUCAUGACCUGAGCCUAAACCAAGAGUAGGACACUUAACCCACUGAGCCACCCGGGCACCCCUCCAGCACACUAAUUCUAACAGCAUCUUGCCAGAUUGUUUUUAAAGUCUUGGGAAAUCUUUGGUACUCUUACUUUUACAGGACCUUUCUGGCAUUGUAUCUAGCAUAUUUAAAAUGCUUACACAUUCCAUAUUAAAGGUUAUGUCAACUAUUUUACAAUUGAGUUGCAACUGACUAGUAGACAGUAUUAUACUGACAUUUCACAGUAUUUUUCCCACUGUAUUUCAGAGCUAAUCAUUUCAUUUUCAGAGCAUAAACACUUCAUAACCUUGUGAAAAGCUUAUAGGCACAAGUCAUGGCCCAGAAACAAACUAUAAUCCCUGAACAAAGAAGUAGCUCCUUGAUUAGUAUCAAGUAUUUUAAGAUUUUUGGCUUUUUAAGGAAUUAUUCACUAAUCUCAUUGGCUGAUAAAGUCUGGAUGAAAAGUAUCCUCCUUCACCUGUUUAUUUGCGUAUGAAUAUAUGCUGACGUAUGUGAAUGCAUCCUGUGUUUAUGUUGUCUUCUAUGUUGUGUGUAAGCUAUAAUGGGAAAGCUAAUUAUUAAAGUCUGCAAACGCACCCAGAGGCUACUGUGAGCGAUGCAUCCAAAAAAAAAAAAAAUCUAAAAAUAACUAAGUAAUAAAUAACCAUUUGCAGAUGGGAAUUGUUCAUGCAGUUUUCUAAACAACAGCAGAUUUCUUUAAGAUAUGUUUUUUUUUUUAAUUUUACUAAGUGUACUAAAUCUUCUGUACUUAAAGGCAGAUAAUUUGAAUAAGAGUGACAUAAAAUUGCCUCCAAAUUAGAGUUAUUUUUAAGACAAUAUCAAACCAUCGCUUUCAUCUUAAAAUAGCUUUACACAUGCAUAUUCUAUGUUAGUUAAAAGCACGAAGAGAGUCAUUUCUGAAAGGCAGGGCAAUUUUUUUAGCAAUUAUAUUAGCAACUAUUUUAGAAUACUACAAUUGCUAAAAAUGUAAGGGCUACUCUUCAAAAUAAUAUCAUGAUUGCUUAGUGUUAUAUUUGUUCGGGUUCACAUGAAAUAAAAAAAUAAAAAUAAAAAGGAUAAAAAAGGAGACUAAACUAGAGCUACAAAGUUCAUUAUAGUCUGGGAAUACAUUGCAGAAAUAGUCAGAAAGCUGCAGUUUUCAGCAAGGAAAGAUGAAAGGAAAUUAGGGAUUCUUAGGAGAGGUGGCAUUCCAAACUUUGCAAACAGUUAAAAUAGUACUACUAACCAAAAUUUAAAAUCACCAUACAGAGUGGGCUUGAUAUAUGAUUAUACGAAACAGUUUAUUCCAUCCAGGAUGGAUUCAAAGUAUUUGGCACAAUCUUUCAAGAGAACUCCAGUUCACAUGGCUUUUUACCAUCACUGAUGUAUAUAUAGUUAGUGGUCUGGUCACAUGCUCCAAACUUAGCUCAACACAGACCCUGCACUAAUAACAUAUUUAAUAACACAAUUAAUUUUCCUGUUUGUAAGGCAGUGUACAUCCAUCAAGUGAGAAACUUUGGGUCUGGUAUUAAGCUUAAAGAAAACAUUAGUAUAAUCUCCUCUUCCACUUGGGGAAGUUACUAAAUAUUUCAUUCCUAAAUGAAUGUGAUAUAUGCAAAAAAUAAUUUCACUUGCUUACAGUGAUAUAUAGGUUACAGAUUAAAAGCACAGCCUCUAAAAUCAGUAGAUAUCUAUCUAUUAUUAGAUGUAUGAGUUUGAUUAGGUUUAAACUUUCUAAAUGUAACAUUCUCAUAUACAAUAUGAGAAUUGCACCUGCUGUUUAUUAUACUUAACACUUAUAACUCAGAGAAAACAUAGCUAUUUUUAUUAAACCAAAAAUAUUAUGUAACUGUCAUUUGCCAAAGAUUUGCCUAAAUUAUGUGAGCUUGAAAUCAUAAAACAUUUGAUUUUAUUUCUGUAAAGGUACUUUUUAAAUCUAGCACAUUGAAAGUCUUAGUAAUUCAAUUUCCUUAAUUUCUGGGAAUUUUAGGGAUAUUCAAUUAUAUAUGCAAUAAUUUACCUCUAAGCCUAUCAGAAUAGAACUCCUUAAAGAGAUCUUAUAAUCAAAUUCAGUAAUUUCAUCUGAAAAUAGGAAAUAUUAUAUAAUGAAAGGCAAAAGCCUUUCUAAAUGACAGACAUAAAUAUCCAAAGAGAGAAAAGAAAACAUAGCUUUAAUUCCAAAAUUUCAGUCAUAAGGGCGCUUGAAUGGCUUAGUCAGUUAAGCAUCAGACUCUUGAUUUUGGCUCAGGAUGUGAUCUCAUUGUUGUGGGAUUGAGCCCCAUGUUGGGGCUCUGUACUGAGUGUGGAGCCUGCUUAAGAUUUUCUCAUUCCCUAUUCCUCUGUCCCUCCCCUCUCAGACUCUCUGUCUCAAAAUAAAUAAAUGUUUUAAUAAAAUAGAAUAAAAUUUCAGUCACAGGUCAAACAGAAACACAGAAACACAAAAUUCACUGAUCCACAUUAAUAAGCUAUUCCUUUCCCAGUGGGCAUAACUUCUUAAUUAAUUUGAACUCAGACAAAUAGACAAACAGAAAAGACUAACAAACCAGAGUCUCUUACUGUCUUUCACAUGAAAGAGACAAGAUUUCUAUAAAUCAUUAAUUCCUUUACAGAGACCACCAAAAGAAGACCACAAAACCAUAAGAAGCUGGCCACAGAAAUCAAGCUGGAACCUUACCCUGCUACCUGUGGACAUGAGUCCAUAGCACAGGAAUCAGACUCACCACUGGGUCUCCAAUCAUUCUUCAGGAGCAGAGCACAAAAGGGGUACCAGAGGCUUCUCUACCUGGGUAUGUAAACAGGGACCCAAAAAAACGAGAUCUGGUCCUCUCUGAGUUACAGCACCAAACUGUGAAAGACAAAUACACCAGCCAAGGAGAUUAUUUUAUGCAAAGUAUUACAAUAGCAAGAAUACUCAUUAAUAAGGAAUGUCUCAAAGAACAAAAGGGGACCUGGGACUUUUUAGUGGCAAGUAAGCAAGAAAGUCAUCUCAGACUUUAUGGGAGUCCUGAGAGAGGACAGAAAUGGGUCUUCUCUCAAGACACACCAGUGCAGGGUGCAAAGUGGUCCUUAAAGGGUGGGAAGAUUUCCAAACCAUUCUUAUUUUCCAGAACCGAAAGGGCUCAGAUAAAGUUCAGCAUUAUCACAUUGUCAGUUUUAUAAAAUGUAUAUAAGGGGGAAAAUGUCAGCAAUUAUUGUUGGAGGGCACAGUACACUUGGCAGUGUAAUUUACACAUUCUGCAUAGAGUCAAAUACUGACUAUCCUUUAUUACCUGUAGGACGUUGGGGAAAUUACAUAAUUUCUCUGGUUUUUAAUUUUCUUAUCAGUUUAUUGGGCAUAGAAAGUAGUGGUCUCUUCGUAAAGCUGUUGUGAAGAUCAAUUAUCACAAAGACGAAAAAUUCAAAGACCAGGUUUUCACCGCUUGCACUCACAGUGGUUAACUAUCAUUGUCAUCACCACUUAGAACUGAGUGAAUGCCGUAAAACAAGAGGUUACUGUUUUUUUCCUAAAAUCCACCUGGUGAAGUAAACAUUUCUAAAGCAUAAGGAUUUACUUUUUUAUUUUCCCAAUUGGCUUGGUAAUUUUAACGGAAACUUUGGUACUUCUUAAUAUAAUAUUUAAACAUUAUUUUCACUUCAUUAAGAUAGAGGGAAAUUUUGAAUUUAUUUCUUUUUUUUUUUCAACGUUUAUUUAUUUUUGGGACAGAGAGAGACAGAGCAUGAACGGGGGAGGGGCAGAGAGAGAGGGAGACACAGAAUCGGAAACAGGCUCCAGGCUCUGAGCCAUCAGCCCAGAGCCUGAUGCGGGGCUCGAACUCACGGACCGCGAGAUCAUGACCUGGCUGAAGUCGGACGCUUAACCGACUGCACCACCCAGGCGCCCCUGAAUUUAUUUCUUUAAAAAAUUCUGUUACUGUAGAGGAAGCAGGAGAUAAGCUGUUCCCUAAAUAAUUAACUGAAUCUUAACAAAUUAAACCAAAAUCAAAGUUGGAGAAAACUAAAUGACGCUAAUGAUGUUGUGUUAAAAUUCAUAAUUCUGCUGUUCUCCAACUGAGCUGAUGUAAGCUAGAACUGAUUGAAUGUAGUUUGAGAAAGAUAAUGUUUAACUUCUUGUCAUCUUCUUUUCCUUUUAAUGAGUGAAAUUAAUGGUAAGGAAAUUUUGCUAGAUCACUGACUAUGGAAGGACAAAGGUUUUCCUGUUGAAGAGUAGCAAAUAAAGCAGUCCUACAAAUUCUUGAAUGACCAGGCAAUUCUCUUCCUCUACUUAGAGCUUGGAGAGCUUUGUCACAGGGUUCAGAGUCUGUAUCUCUUUCAGUUCUCAGCCUCCUACUGAUGCUAUUAAUGCUACCUAAUUUAAUGACCUUUACAAUAUCAAGAAGGAAAAUAAUUUAUGCUGAUUUCCUUGACUCCCUACCUGUGAUGAGGACAGAUUUAAAAGGGGGGGGGGAGAUGGCGAGAUGAGGGAGCAUUUUUUUUCUCAUUCUGAGCUGAGUCUCUCAAGCACUUUACAUCCACAUUGCAAAGGACUUUAGAGGUAAUACCUGUUUACUAAGUGGACCAAACUUAGAGCUUUGAGCUAAAGAGCUCUUGAAAUCAUCCAGUACAUUUAGUAUAUUUAAAAACAAGACAAAAUUUUUAUUCCAAGAACUGAGCAUCAGAACAGAUGAUUAUAAGAAAGAAGAGUAUGGCCAUAAGAAGAUUCAAAUCUACCUAAAUGCUUGAGAAGACAAAGCCAACCUUUACAUGACAUUGUACUAAAUAUAUAACAUAAUAUAUAAGUUUCUCUGGUUUCUGAAGUCCUUUGGUUCAGAUUCUGAUUCUAUCACUGAUAGACAAUAGGCAGUUAACUGUAAACUUCCUUUUCUUCAUCUGAAAAGCGAGAAUAAAGGAAGUAUACACAUUGCAGAAUUGCUUUGAGGAUUAAAGAGAAAAUUCAAUUGAUUAGCUCAGUUCUUGGCCCAUGGUAAGUACUCUAAGAAAUGUUAGUCACAGUAGUAGUAAAAUAGUACAUAUAUAUAUAUAUAUAUAUAUAUAUAUAUAUAUAUAGAAUAAAAAAUUUAUAUAUAGACCACAUGCAUAGUCUACAAUUAGCAAAUCUGAGAGUAUAUAAUUAAAUAAUAUGUAUGGUGGCACAGAUAUAAAUGUAAUAGCAAGUCAAAGGAAGGAAGAACAGUGGGGAUAUCCUUUGGAAAAUUAAUGUUUUUUCUACCAUGCCUGGCAACUAGUAAGCUCUUGAUAAAUGUUAGGUGCUUUUAUUAUCACUGUUAUUGAUUGUGGUAGGCUUUGUAGAGGAGGUUAAGACUGGAGUUGAACCUUAAAGAAUGGGUAAGAUAAGAGUAGCAAAAAGGACUCUCAAAUGAAGAUAAUUUCAGGACUGAGGUAUCUGAUGUGGCAAUUAGCAUGACACAGCCUAUGAAGAUAAGACACUGGUCUGAAGAGAACCAGUGAGGAUAUCCUCCAAUUUAUCAAUAAGGCGUUUUCAUUAUUAUCUUCAUUAAUAAUCCUUAUAGUGUUUGAGUGCCUGUUACUAUAUGUAGUAAGCUGAACCAUAGCCCCUGGUCCUUUGUGUCUUAAUCCCCAGAUCUGUAAAUAUUAUCUUAUUUGGAAACAAGGUCUUUGCAGAUGUAAUUAAGUCAAGGAUCUCGAGAUGAGGAGAUCAACCAGAUUACCCAGGUGAGCCCUAAAUCCAGCAAAUAUCCCUAUAAGAGAAACAUAGGAGAGGCCCACAGAGAACAGGAUAAGGCAAUAUAGCCAUGGAGCAGAGACUAGAGUAAUGCAGUCACAAUCUCAGGACUACCAACAACCACCAGAAGCUAAGAGAAGCAAGGAACAAGAACUCCCCUUGAGACACAAUGGGUUUGAACUUCUGACCCCCAUAACUUUGAAAGCAUACCUUUCUAUUUAUUGGUUUGACAAAGCUGUGGUAUUUAAAAAACAAACAAACAAACAAACAAAACCCAGCCACACUGAAAAUGAGUACACUAUGCCAAACAUUUACUUUAUUCAACCUAAGCCUUCUACAAUCUUCUAAAAUACAACAUAAGUGUUAUCAUCACCAGUUACAGUUACUAUAGAAAUAUUUAAUAGGCACUACAGAGAUAUUUAACAGGCACAUCUAACCUAGUCUAAAGGAAGGGUCAAGAAAAACUUCUGUUUCUUUAAAAUGUUUAUUUAUUUAUUAUGAGAGAGUGUGCAUGCUCUGGGGAGAGAAGGGGCAGAGAGAGGGGAGAGAGAGAAUCCCAAGCAGGCUCCCCAACACAUCCCACAAACUGUGAGAUCAUGACUUGAGCCAAAAUCAAGAGUCCAAUGCUUAACCAACUGAGCCACCUAGGUGCUCCAAGAAAAACUUCUUAAAGGAAGAAAUGUCUAAAGUUCAAUUAAUUAUAUGGGUAGGAGUUAGCCUAUACAGGAACUGAGAGGCAUGACAAGCAGGUGGAGGGCCUAUAUGAAAGGAUGAAGGACUGAACAAAGUUUGGAGAGGUUGGGGAAUAGGAGAAAGAGUAUCUUGGAUGGAGCACUAGGGUUUGACCAAAGGUGGAGGAUCUGCCUGAGCCUGGGUGGGCUUCCCGGAAACAGAGGGAGGCAGGCUACAGGAGAGGCAGAGUCUAGGAGAUUCUAAUAACAAGGAGAGAUCAGAAUUUCUUUGUUUUAUCAGCUAGCCUUUUGAUAAAUAAUAGAUAGGCCUGGAUUAUUUUAAAGCCGUGCAGGUGUGGAAGGGGUAGAGGGAGAGAAAGGGGAUAAAAUACACAUGGAAAUCGGCAUAUGCUCUCCAGGGUUUUGCAGAAACCAGUUGGUAGCCCCCAAAGAAAAUCAAUAACCACUGCUUCUAUUUGUGGCUCUGUUUCCACAGAAACGUGUUUGCGGGUGAAUUUGGAAGGCAGAUUUACA
rnacentral:lncRNA from 1 species